rnacentral:lncRNA from 1 species
GACCGGUGGUACAACAUGGAGUUCCGCCGAGGGUGGACAAAGGAGAGCCCAGCUGCUGAGCGGCCUGACUCCAGUUCCAGAGUUUGAAUGUAUUUCUUUACAUGAAGAGGACCUAGGGAUGAAAAAGUGAAUUCAGUUUUCUUUGUAGAAGAGGAGGAAGACAAGAGCUACCAUCUGGAGAGCAGAACGUUUUGGGAAGCCAUCAAAGGCAAAGAACCUAAGAAUCCAGGAAGAUCUUGAACUAUUACCCUUUACUUUAAUUUUUAAUCAUGGAAAUAUUUGCUUGGAAAAGAGACUGUGUCUACAAUGGCAACCAUUUUUAUAUUCAGAAAUUUGCCAUGUAAAAUAAUUGAAUGUCAGAUGAAGAACUGCCUGUCAUAUUUUGCUAUUAAAAUAAUAUAUUUUUAUGCAUAACCUGACCUGCCUUUGUGAGUUACUGUAGCCUGUGGUCUCUCUGCAAGAUUUUCCAAUGGGAUUUUUAAUAAUAUUCCGAUGUUUGCC